UACGUAGGGUGCAAGCGUUAAUCGGAAUUACUGGGCGUAAAGCGUGCGCAGGCGGUUUUGUAAGUCAGAUGUGAAAUCCCCGGGCUUAACCUGGGAACUGCGUUUGAAACUACAAGGCUAGAGUGUGACAGAGGGGGGUGGAAUUCCACGUGUAGCAGUGAAAUGCGUAGAGAUGUGGAGGAACACCGAUGGCGAAGGCAGCCCCCUGGGCCAACACUGACGCUCAUGCACGAAAGCGUGGGGAGCAAACAGG
rnacentral:rRNA from 1 species